rnacentral:rRNA from 1 species
GGGGAUUAGUGGCGAACGGGUGAGUAACACGUGGGCAAUCUGCCCUGCACUCUGGGACAAGCCCUGGAAACGGGGUCUAAUACCGGAUAUUGACCUUCACGGGCAUCUGUGAGGUUCGAAAGCUCCGGCGGUGCAGGAUGAGCCCGCGGCCUAUCAGCUUGUUGGUGAGGUAAUGGCUCACCAAGGCGACGACGGGUAGCCGGCCUGAGAGGGCGACCGGCCACACUGGGACUGAGACACGGCCCAGACUCCUACGGGAGGCAGCAGUGGGGAAUAUUGCACAAUGGGCGAAAGCCUGAUGCAGCGACGCCGCGUGAGGGAUGACGGCCUUCGGGUUGUAAACCUCUUUCAGCAGGGAAGAAGCGAAAGUGACGGUACCUGCAGAAGAAGCGCCGGCUAACUACGUGCCAGCAGCCGCGGUAAUACGUAGGGCGCAAGCGUUGUCCGGAAUUAUUGGGCGUAAAGAGCUCGUAGGCGGCUUGUCACGUCGGUUGUGAAAGCCCGGGGCUUAACCCCGGGUCUGCAGUCGAUACGGGCAGGCUAGAGUUCGGUAGGGGAGAUCGGAAUUCCUGGUGUAGCGGUGAAAUGCGCAGAUAUCAGGAGGAACACCGGUGGCGAAGGCGGAUCUCUGGGCCGAUACUGACGCUGAGGAGCGAAAGCGUGGGGAGCGAACAGGAUUAGA